GAGGGGAGGGAGCCUGAGGCAAUCACCUGGAUGUGUCCCAUGACUCAGGAGGAAUCUGACUUUUCCUGGCUGAACCUAGAAAAGGACACUGUUGCAGCCAAAGCUGACAGCUUCCCAAACACUGAGUUAACUCCAGCAACGUGUGUGUCAAACCUCAUUAUCUAUGUGGACAUUCCUGGAAAGUAUACUGCCAAGGUAGAUGACUGUCUUCCACAUGAAGGAUCAGGAGGACUCCGCCAAGAAUCGUGCUAGCAGUGACUAAGAAAGAGACUCCCCUGUGAUUGUCACAGAACAGCA